UACGGAGGGGGCAAGCGUUGUUCGGAAUCACUGGGUGUAAAGGGUGCGUAGGCGGUCCGUUAAGUCUGAUGUGAAAGCCCUGGGCUCAACUCAGGAAUUGCAUUGGAAACUGGCGGGCUGGAGUACGGGAGAGGGAAGCGGAAUUCCUGGUGUAGCGGUGAAAUGCGUAGAUACCAGGAGGAACACCGGUGGCGAAGGCGGCUUUCUGGACAGAUACCGACGCUGAGGCACGAAAGCUAGGGGAGCAAACAGG
rnacentral:rRNA from 1 species